GAGAGCUCCUGGAUACCAUGCUGGGGAACCUGCUGGCAGAGUUCCCAGACGCAGACAUGCUCCACUACAUCUUGUAGCAUGUCAACCUCUGGAUGGUGUCCAGGGUGUCCCAGGAUAGAGCCAGGGCUAUUAGAAGCAGCACGCCCCUGCUCAGAUAUGCAGUCACCCUCCCUGAGUUUGACAUCUCAGCAGAGUUCCCUAGGAUGGGUCACCACGUGGCCCAACUGGCUCUGUUUGUCAGUGACCCAGACAAGGACAUCAACCGGCAGGCCAGGGAAGGGACUUCCCGGCUGUACCAGCUGCUGCUCCAACAGAGGGGUAAGGA